AUGGGGAAGGAGAAGACGGCGGCUCUGGAGCGGGCAAAGAAGGCGACGACGAGGUCGAAGGGGAAGGCGACCAGCCAGGGCGGAUCCUCCUCGCGAACCGGCCUGCCGAAGGGCUGGAUCCAGGGCGACUGGAUCCACUCGAAGCUCACCCAAGAAGACCUCGAUGACCUGGCCGAAGGAGGGCUGAUCCCCUAUGACUCGGCGCGGCUUCCGGGGAAGGAAUCCGAGCCACAACCCCGGGAGGGUGAGCGCGUUCUUCUUGCCACCCACGUCGACCGUGGAUUUUCCUUGCCUCCUCACCCUUUCUUUCGAGGAUUUCUGAACUUCUUUGGGGCACAACUCCACCAUUUUACUCCAAACACAAUCGUUUAUCUCGCCGCUUUCAUUUCUUUGUGUGAGAAUUUCCUGGGUUGCCGGCCUCACUGGGGUCUUUUCAAGCAUAUUUUCACUUGUCGCUCCCAAACAGUGAAAAAGGCUAAUCCGAGUGACGAGAGGACUCAAGUGAUCCAGAUGUGUGGGGGUCUUGGUAUCCAGAUGAGAGGGAAAAGUUCUUUUCGGCCAUGA
rnacentral:rRNA from 1 species